AAGAUAGAGAGAAAAGCCCAGGACUUCUAACCCUGACCAGAGGGGUUAAACUCCCUUCCUAUCUUU
rnacentral:tRNA from 1 species